rnacentral:rRNA from 1 species
AGUGAACGCUGGCGGUAGGCCUAACACAUGCAAGUCGAACGGCAGCACAGUAAGAGCUUGCUCUUACGGGUGGCGAGUGGCGGACGGGUGAGGAAUACAUCGGAAUCUACUUUUUCGUGGGGGAUAACGUAGGGAAACUUACGCUAAUACCGCAUACGACCUACGGGUGAAAGCAGUGGAUCUUCUGACCUUGCGCGAUUGAAUGAGCCGAUGUCGGAUUAGCUAGUUGGCGGGGUAAAGGCCCACCAAGGCGACGAUCCGUAGCUGGUCUGAGAGGAUGAUAGGCCACACUGGAACUGAGACACGGUCAAGACUCCUACGGGAGGCAGCAGUGGGGAAUAUUGGACAAUGGGCGGAAGCCUGAUCCAGCCAUACCGCGUGGGUGAAGAAGGCCUUCGGGUUGUAAAGCCCUUUUGUUGGGAAAGAAAAGCAGCGGGUUAAUACCCAGCUGUUCUGACGGUACCCAAAGAAUAAGCACCGGCUAACUUCGUG